AUUGAACGCUGGCGGCAGGCCUAACACAUGCAAGUCGAACGAGUGGCGGACGGGUGAGUAAUGUCUGGGAAACUGCCCGAUGGAGGGGGAUAACUACUGGAAACGGUAGCUAAUACCGCAUAGCAUCGUGUGGGCCAAGAGGGGAUUAGCUAGUAGGUGGGGUAACGGCUCACCUAGGCGACGAUCCCUAGCUGGUCUGAGAGGAUGACCAGCCCCACUGGCACUGAGACACGGUCCAGACGCCUACGGUAGUCAGCAGUGGGGAAUAUUUCACAAUGGGCGCAAGCCUGAUGCAGCCAUGCCGCGUGUAUGAAGAAGGCCUUCGGGUUGUAAAGUACUUUCAGCUAGGAGGCGUUACUCGCAGAAGAAGCACCGGCUAACUCCGUGCCAGCAGCCGCGGUAAUUC
rnacentral:rRNA from 1 species